rnacentral:rRNA from 1 species
UACAGAGGGUGCGAGCGUUAAUCGGAAUUACUGGGCGUAAAGCGCACGUAGGUGGCGACGUAAGUCGGGUGCGAAAGCCCCGGGCUCAACCUGGGAAUUGCAUUCGAGACUGCAUUGCUGGAGUACGGAAGAGGAGGGCGGAAUUCCCGGUGUAGCGGUGAAAUGCGUAGAUAUCGGGAGGAACAUCAGUGGCGAAGGCGGCCCUCUGGUCCAGUACUGACACUCAAGUGCGAAAGCGUGGGGAGCAAACAGG